AGGGAAUCUUCCGCAAUGGACGAAAGUCUGACGGAGCAACGCCGCGUGAGUGAUGAAGGUUUUCGGAUCGUAGAGCUCUGUUGCCAGGGAAGAACGUCUUCUGGAGUAACUGCCAGGAGAGUGACGGUACCUGAGAAGAAAGCCCCGGCUAACUACGUGCCAGCAGCCGCGGUAAUACGUAGGGGGCAAGCGUUGUCCGGAAUUAUUGGGCGUAAAGCGCGCGCAGGCGGCUGUUAAGACUGGUGUUUAAUCCUGGGGCUCAACCCCGGGUCGCACUGGAAACUGGACAGCUUGAGUGCAGAAGAGGAGAGUGGAAUUCCACGUGUAGCGGUGAAAUGCGUAGAGAUGUGGAGGAACACCAGUGGCGAAGGCGACUCUCUGGGCUGUAACUGACGCUGAGGCGCGAAAGCGUGGGGAGCAAAC
rnacentral:rRNA from 1 species